GAAAACAGCUUUAAUACCAAAUGUCAUCAGGUUAACUUUGGUGGUCUUGAGUCUGAUUCCUCUGCUUCUUUUGAUUGUGUGGAUGAGGAAGAAGAUGUCCUCUAGCCAUGAAGUUGAAUCAAAUGAAGUGGUGGAGAUGAUAGAGAUGCAGUGAAAUCACAGACUGGACUGACCUGAUGGAAACAGAAAGUAGUGACAGCAAAACAUCACAGUGGAAAAUGAUGCUGCGCAGGAAGUGAUGGAACUGGAUACAUUUUGCUCGGAUUUAUUAUUUUUAUUGCUUCUAUUAAACAUACUGCUGGCUUAAUGCUGAUUUACACAUGGCAUUAUGUGCUAAAUAAAAGAGUUGUGUUGACCUGUGUAAGACGGGAGGGUCUCAAACUUUAUCUCACACUAUGUGAAAUGGGAAGAAACAAAGUUGAAUAGUAGCAGGUCAAACAGAGGACAAAGCACACCAGCUUACACUCAAGACACAUCAGACACAUGAACACACACUGCAGACACACACACUCUCAUGGACACUCGCUGCAUGCUCACACAUACCAGCUACUACUGAUUGAAGGAUGCACUUGUUUUGAAGCUCAUGUAAAAGAACAUAAAACUGAUAAAGUGCAAAUGAUUGGAGGCAUGCGUCACCCAAAGCAAUGGGAGCACUGUCAUACAACUUUAACAGGAAGACCAUAAGUAACGACAUAAGACUGUAUCCUUAGGCUAUGACUACUAAUGAAGACACAAAGACACAAACACAUCUAUCAGUCAUUGUAGGGAGGGAUUCCUUUCUCUUUCAGGUUAUCAGAAACUGAUGAUUCAUUGGAGGAUUGUAUGGUGACAAGAUGUGGACAAGCCUGUCCACCAACGAGAGAGAGCCAAGUCUAAACCACGGCUCUUCUCCACCAGUUUGACCAAUGAGAUUGUAGCACAUUUCAUAAAUAUACUCUGUAUACUGAAUACUGCAUCCAUUACUGGGAAGACGCCUUCAGAUUAACACCUUUGUUAAUUCUAGUCCUCUGAAGUGUAAUUGUUGAUAUCAAGCUACUUGGCAUUGCAGAAUAAACAGCUUUAACUGAGAGAAGUUGCCUGUCUGCUGUCUCAAAAACACACUCAACACUGUGAAAUGUUUUAAUGUUCGGUUUUCAGUAGCAACAGCAUACAGUAGAACAUCUGACUAGAAUUCAAGCUUUUUUGAGCUGUACAGAUAAUGUUUAGGAUGAAAAUAAGAUGUGACCUUUAAUCCACUGGACUGAAUACUGAGCAGACAGGUAGAACUAAAGCAAAAUAUUUCACAACAUGUACAGUUUCUAUUUUAACACACUGAAAUCAAACAUUGGUACUUUGUAACAGAUUUAAAUCGUUGCAGUUGAAGCUUGAAAAAACAUCCAGCUACCUCCUGUUUUCAUAUUUCCGUUCUCUCUCACUGCUGUAGUGGAAAAGCACUCCAAAUGCAGUACUCCACCAAGGCUGUUCAUUCCGACAGUUGGCAUUGUCAGAAAUGGAGCAUUUUUUGUAGACAAGCAGCAUUUGUUUAUUAGUGUCAGGCUGGCUGCUGCCAGGCCUAGAUAGUAGAGUCCCUAUAUUAUCAGAGUAGCGACAACUGGGGAUUUGAAGCCAUUUUGUUUCCAUUCACUCAAUAUGGGACG